rnacentral:tRNA from 1 species
GUCUGACUGGCUCACUUGGUGGAGCACGUGAUUCUUGCUCUCAGGGUUGUGAGUUCGAGCCCCAUGUUGGGCA